UAUACAUGUGAAGUCCAGACUAU
rnacentral:siRNA from 1 species